rnacentral:misc_RNA from 1 species
AUUCUUGGAACGUGCAUUCACCAAAGUAAAUACUCAUAUUUUGAUAAUCGUCAUGCAACAAGCUUUCUUGCACAAAACAAUGCCAAACAGCUUGACCAAACAGAACAUUCAAAGAAAUAUGACACCUUGAGUUCUCACUAAGGACAUUGUCAUAGUUUACCAGUAGAUAGGAAGCAGAUGUUGUAGACUCCAUAAAAGUUGCAUGAGCAAAAGGAGUUAUACAGCCCAAUAUUUUA